GUGAGACAGGUGCUGCAUGGCUGUCGUCAGCUCGUGUUGUGAAAUGUUGGGUUAAGUCCCGCAACGAGCGCAACCCUUAUCCUUUGUUGCCAGCGGUCCGGCCGGGAACUCAAAGGAGACUGCCAGUGAUAAACUGGAGGAAGGUGGGGAUGACGUCAAGUCAUCAUGGCCCUUACGACCAGGGCUACACACGUGCUACAAUGGCGCAUACAAAGAGAAGCGACCUCGCGAGAGCAAGCGGACCUCAUAAAGUGCGUCGUAGUCCGGAUUGGAGUCUGCAACUCGACUCCAUGAAGUCGGAAUCGCUAGUAAUCGUGGAUCAGAAUGCCACGGUGAAUACGUUCCCGGGCCUUGUACACACCGCCCGUCACACCAUGGGAGUGGGUUGCAAAAGAAGUAGGUAGCUUAACCUUCGGGAGGGCGCUUACCACUUUGUGAUUCAUGACUGGGGUGAAGUCGUAACAAGGUAACCGUAGGGGAACCUGCGGUUGGAUCACCUCCUUACCUUAAA
rnacentral:rRNA from 1 species